rnacentral:rRNA from 1 species
GUGAGGAAUAUUGCGCAAUGGAGGCAACUCUGACGCAGCCAUGCCGCGUGCAGGAAGAAGGCGCUACGCGUUGUAAACUGCUUUUAACCGGGAAGAAACCCCAGGACGUGUCCUGGGUUGACGGUACCGGAGGAAUAAGCACCGGCUAACUUCGUGCCAGCAGCCGCGGUAAUACGAAGGGUGCAAGCGUUAUCCGGAUUCAUUGGGUUUAAAGGGUGCGUAGGCGGAGCGUUAAGUCAGUGGUUAAAUCCUGCAGCUUAACUGUAGACUUGCCAUUGAUACUGGCGCUCUUGAGUGCGCUUGAAGUGGGCGGAAUGUGCCGUGUAGCGGUGAAAUGCUUAGAUAUGGCACAGAACACCAAUUGCGAAGGCAGCUGACUAAGGCGAUACUGACGCUGAGGCACGAAAGCGUGGGGAUCGAACAGGAUUAGAAACCCUGGUAGUCC